AACGAACGCUGGCGGCAUGCCUAACACAUGCAAGUCGAACGAGACCUUCGGGUCUAGUGGCGCACGGGUGCGUAACGCGUGGGAACCUGCCCUUAGGUUCGGAAUAACUCCCCGAAAGGGGUGCUAAUACCGGAUAAUGUCUUCGGACCACAGAUUUAUCGCCUUUGGAUGGGCCCGCGUUGGAUUAGCUAGUUGGUAGGGUAAAAGCCUACCAAGGCGACGAUCCAUAGCUGGUCUGAGAGGAUGAUCAGCCACACUGGGACUGAGACACGGCCCAGACUCCUACGGGAGGCAGCAGUGGGGAAUAUUGGACAAUGGGCGAAAGGCUGAUCCAGCAAUGCCGCGUGAGUGAUGAAGGCCUUAGGGUUGUAAAGCUCUUUUACCCGGGAGGAUAAUGACAGUACCGGGAGAAUAAGCUCCGGCUAACUCCGUG
rnacentral:rRNA from 1 species